rnacentral:rRNA from 1 species
UUACCAUGCAAGUCGAACGGUGAAGCCCAGCUUGCUGGGUGGAUCAGUGGCGAACGGGUGAGUAACACGUGAGCAACCUGCCCCUGACUCUGGGAUAAGCGCUGGAAACGGCGUCUAAUACUGGAUAUGUGACGUGACCGCAUGGUCUGCGUUUGGAAAGAUUUUUCGGUUGGGGAUGGGCUCGCGGCCUAUCAGCUUGUUGGUGAGGUAAUGGCUCACCAAGGCGUCGACGGGUAGCCGGCCUGAGAGGGUGACCGGCCACACUGGGACUGAGACACGGCCCAGAYUCCUACGGGAGGCAGCAGUGGGGAAUAUUGCACAAUGGGCGCAAGCCUGAUGCAGCAACGCCGCGUGAGGGAUGACGGCCUUCGGGUUGUAAACCUCUUUUAGCAGGGAAGAAGCGAAAGUGACGGUACCUGCAGAAAAAGCGCCGGCUAACUACGUGCCAGCAGCCGCGGUAAUACGUAGGGCGCAAGCGUUAUCCGGAAUUAUUGGGCGUAAAGAGCUCGUAGGCGGUUUGUCGCGUCUGCUGUGAAAUCCCGAGGCUCAACCUCGGGCCUGCAGUGGGUACGGGCAGACUAGAGUGCGGUAGGGGAGAUUGGAAUUCCUGGUGUAGCGGUGGAAUGCGCAGAUAUCAGGAGGAACACCGAUGGCGAAGGCAGAUCUCUGGGCCGUAACUGACGCUGAGGAGCGAAAGGGUGGGGAGCAAACAGGCUUAGAUACCCUGGUAGUCCACCCCGUAAACGUUGGGAACUAGUUGUGGGGUCCAUUCCACGGAUUCCGUGACGCAGCUAACGCAUUAAGUUCCCCGCCUGGGGAGUACGGCCGCAAGGCUAAAACUCAAAGGAAUUGACGGGGACCCGCACAAGCGGCGGAGCAUGCGGAUUAAUUCGAUGCAACGCGAAGAACCUUACCAAGGCUUGACAUAUACGAGAACGGGCCAGAAAUGGUCAACUCUUUGGACACUCGUAAACAGGUGGUGCAUGGUUGUCGUCAGCUCGUGUCGUGAGAUGUUGGGUUAAGUCCCGCAACGAGCGCAACCCUCGUUCUAUGUUGCCAGCACGUAAUGGUGGGAACUCAUGGGAUACUGCCGGGGUCAACUCGGAGGAAGGUGGGGAUGACGUCAAAUCAUCAUGCCCCUUAUGUCUUGGGCUUCACGCAUGCUACAAUGGCCGGUACAAAGGGCUGCAAUACCGCGAGGUGGAGCGAAUCCCAAAAAGCCGGUCCCAGUUCGGAUUGAGGUCUGCAACUCGACCUCAUGAAGUCGGAGUCGCUAGUAAUCGCAGAUCAGCAACGCUGCGGUGAAUACGUUCCCGGGUCUUGUACACACCGCCCGUCAAGUCAUGAAAGUCGGUAACACCUGAAGCCGGUGGCCUAACCCUUGUGGAGGGAGCCG